CGAUAGCUCAGCUGGUAGAGCAACUGACUUUUAAUCAGUAGGUCCAGGGUUCGAAUCCCUGUCG
rnacentral:tRNA from 1 species